rnacentral:rRNA from 1 species
GUGGGGAAUAUUGGACAAUGGGCGAAAGCCUGAUCCAGCCAUGCCGCGUGUGUGAAGAAGGUCUUCGGAUUGUAAAGCACUUUAAGUUGGGAGGAAGGGCAGUAAGUUAAUACCUUGCUGUUUUGACGUUACCAACAGAAUAAGCACCGGCUAACUUCGUGCCAGCAGCCGCGGUAAUACGAAGGGUGCAAGCGUUAAUCGGAAUUACUGGGCGUAAAGCGCGCGUAGGUGGUUCAGCAAGUUGGAGGUGAAAUCCCCGGGCUCAACCUGGGAACUGCCUCCAAAACUACUGAGCUAGAGUACGGUAGAGGGUAGUGGAAUGUCCUGUGUAGCGGUGAAAUGCGUAGAUAUAGGAAGGAACACCAGUGGCGAAGGCGACUACCUGGACUGAUACUGACACUGAGGUGCGAAAGCGUGGGGAGCAAACAGGAUUAGAAACCCCAGUAGUCC